GGGUUCUUCCGGACUUUCUCUCUCUCUCUCUCUCUCUCUCUCUCUCUGUGUGUGUGUGUGUGUGUGUGUGUGUGAGAGAGAGAGAGAGAGAGAGAGAGAGAGAGAGAGUCAUUCUUCGUAC